UACAGAGGUGGCAAGCGUUGUUCGGAAUUACUGGGCGUAAAGGGCGCGUAGGCGGUCUUGUAAGUCUUGUGUGAAAUCCCUCGGCUUAACUGAGGAACUGCACGGGAUACUGCGAGACUUGAGAUCGGGAGAGGGAAGCGGAAUUCCGGGUGUAGCGGUGAAAUGCGUAGAUAUCCGGAGGAACACCGGUGGCGAAGGCGGCUUCCUGGACCGACACUGACGCUGGAGGCGCGAAAGCUAGGGGAGCAAACGGG
rnacentral:rRNA from 1 species